rnacentral:misc_RNA from 1 species
GUGAAUCAUCAAAUUUUUGAACGCAAAUUGCACUCUCUUCGGAGAGUAUGCGUGUUUGAGUGUCAGGCUAAAAAAAAUCGACAUAGUUGCUGUCAGGCGGUAAUAUUCGUCGGAAAUUGGGUCAUCUUAAACUUUUGGGUUUAUGCGGCUUAAAAUUUUCUUUAUGAUUCUAAGCACGCGUCUUAGAAUUUAUUUUCUUAUAUGUUUAAGGUAUCGUUCUUUAUUAGAUGUGGCUGAUGCAUCGGAUCUCGUCUA